UCUCGAACCGUCCUCUCCCAAUCGCUGGAGCCGAACGCCGCUUUGCGCACCACCGGUCCGCCGCCGCUCGACGCUCGCGCUCCAUUGCCGCCGCCUCUCCCGUCAGCAACGCCGCCCGCAGCCGGGUUCGUUCCUCGACGCAUACGAUGGACAUCCCUCCUCACCUGCUCCCUUGCGCCCUUGCACGCUUCCGUGCCGCCGUGCGCCCUCCUCGCCCCCCGCCGCCGAACACGCCGUGGAAGCCUGGCAUGCCCCGCACUAUCAGCCCCCCGGCGUCUGCCUCCUUGCAGGAAAGGAUGUCUUCUGUGGUCUUCUUCCCCAAUUUUCUCCUUUUCUUCCACGCUUCCACACUGCUCCUGUAUGCAAGGUUCUCCCUCCUGCCGGCUUCCCUCUGCCCCUUCCUAUAUGCGGAUCUGGUUGGUGCCCCUGCUUUUGGGAAGCGCAGAUUCAUCGACAGGGAUUGGAGUUGCUGCUCUCUAUUUUCCCUAUCCUAUUUCACCUGUAUUUGUUUCUUCCCGAUUUUCUCUUUCUUCCUGUCAUACUGAUUGACGUCUGCUCCAACGAGUUUUGUGUGACUAAUCUUUUAUCUCUUUUACAUCUUUUGCUUCUUAAUGAUAAAGUUCUGCUGAGAAGAGGGAUUGCAGCGCUCCCAGUUUAACUUGGGGCCAGUAUUAUAUCUUCCUCCCUCCCCGGCAUAGUACCAUAUUUCAGUGUGAACAUGGAGAAGAGUAACAAUAAUUUCAAAAUUGCAGUCUGGCAUUUCUAGAGAUGUAUGGUUGAUGCAACAAUGAUUCUGCAGCAAAAAGGCCAGAACAGUUUUUCCAAAGAAUGACAAUGCUCCCUAUUGAGGGAUGUGCUCUAAGAGGCGGCUUCUGUAAAAAGAGUGACCAUCAUGAUGGUUCAGCUGGGGCAGUGUGCAGCAAGGUUGGAGGAGGACAAUAAUGGCAAUGAGUCAAUUGAAGUGAUAGCAGAUAAUUUCUCUCUGAUCCCAGCCCUCCCUCUGCAUUAGAGAGAUGGAUCAAUCAGAUGAGUACUCUUCAAAUGUCAAGAUCGGUGAAAGGCCUCCUUGGUGCUCCGAGGUACUGCAGCUGCAGUAGCAUGGGACACAUUUAUUUGUAGCAGCCGAGAAAGAUUUAGGCAGCGGAACUGUUGUUGAUGCACCUCUCUGUCUGCGAUGACACUUGCUACCUAAUCAUCGUCCAGGAAGGCAGGAACUACGUACCUAUUGUUGUCGUAGGUGCUUGUGUUCAGGACUUUCUGUAUGUUUGGCGAGCCACAAAAAAUACUUACCUGUCCGCCUAAGCCUAUAAGAGAAUAUAUGGUACUACUCUAUUAUCUGUGAUACAGCAUGUGCUGUUACAUGAUCAUAAACUUUCUUCCUUUUUGUAUCGUAUAUGCCAAAAACAAUUAACCAUCUGAAAAACAGCGUGCAAACUA